rnacentral:hammerhead_ribozyme from 1 species
UUCCAGUUGAUGAGUCCAAAAUAGGACGAAGUGCGCAACCUGGAU